rnacentral:rRNA from 1 species
CACUCGCCUAACGAGUGGGCGUCCGGCGGAAACUACAGGGCUUGGGACCGGAAGACUUGAGGGGUACGUCUGGGGUANGAGUGAAAUCCUGUAAUCCUGGACGGACCGCCGAUAGCGAAAGCACCUCAAGACGACGGAUCCGACAGUGAGGGACGAAAGCUAGGGUCUCGAACCGGAUUAGAUACCCGGGUAGUCCUAGC